GGUCAAGCACCACCAGGUGGAGUAACAGGCGCCCCCGGACAGAAUACAGGUGACGCAGAACCAGAACUAUCAUCUCAUCCCGAAAGUGGUCAACAACAACCAAAAACUCCUUCCGCAAAGCCUGCAAGUAGUGAGUUUUGUACAACUGGUUAAUUUACAUAUUUAUCAAGAGCGUAAAUUUCAGAAAUGUCUUG